CAGCAGAACAGCUGUAGCUUGGGUUUAUACGAGAAGUGAGGUGACUAUUGCUGAAACGUGAUGCUGGAGAGCAGCCACAUAGCUCGCUGGGUCCCAGAAGAACACCGGGAGCUCCAUGGAGCCAAACCUCUCUUCCCAGAGCUGUUGCUGAAGAUAAUUGGGUUCUGUGCAGGCUCCUGCCCACCUGCUACCAGGGCGCCGUGUCUCAGGCCGUGACAAAGGAAAACAGAAUGGUUUAAAAGGCACGUUCUCGUGAAACAAUGGAAAAAUUAAUCCUGGAUGAGA
rnacentral:lncRNA from 1 species